GCGGGUGUCAGGGAACCGCAUUCAACAUGCGAGAGUCUCGCUGAACUACCGGGAGACAUGGGAUGUCUGGUAUUUGGCAGUAUGUGUGUAUGGAUGGAUGUAUUAGGCAGUGUGCGUGUACGGGUGUAUGUAUUAGGCAAUAUAUGUAUUGUGCAAUAUGUGUGUGCAGAUGGAUGUAUUAGGCAGUGUGUGUGUAUGGAUGUAAGUAUUCAGUGAGUAUG